AUGAAAGCUGGCGGCUCUCAUCGUAAGAUCGUUGGUCUUGGUGUGCACUACACCAGGGAAGACGAACCUCCCCAGAUGGCAGUAGUCCUGCCCAAGCGCCUCAACGAGAUGCUGAAGCAUGAGAAGUUGUUCUCAUUUGCCGGUUUCAGCACUAAAGGCGACAAAGAGAAGAUGAAGAUGUCUAGCCCCCCAACGAUCAACCCCAACAAGUAUGUCGACAUUCAGCGCUUCUGGAGAGUUCCAUACACCGGAAAAGAGUACGACUCCUUGACUGAUGUUGCAGCCAGCGUCAUCCACCCGUUCUACAAAGGCAUGAAGAAGAACAUCGACACGUAG
rnacentral:rRNA from 1 species